UCAUACAAAUAGCAUGUGUACAAGCAUCACAAUACUUUCUUUCCUUUCUAGAAUGUGCAAGAAAAUUCAUCUGACAACUAUCAACAUUCAGGAUUAGCCUAAGGACAGCCAGAGCUGCCUGAAUCUCAACAGCAUAAACUGAACAGCCACAGCUGCUUCACAAUGAGAAGCAUUCCUUAGAGCUCAGAGCAGGAGAACUAGAAAAGGCUGUGGAAGUACCACCACAGCCUUAUUCACAGAUUUCAACGAUGUCAUAGCCCAAUGCAACACAGACAAGGAACGCAUCCCCUGUGCAUCACAAGCCAGCGGCCUGAGAAACCAAAUACACAAUGUACAGGCAAAAAGAAAUAAAUCUCAAAGGAAACAGAGGAUUUGUUUCCCGACUGUCCAUUGGUGAAAGUGAGGCACGGGGCAGCGCGCUGCUCAAGGUCACGCAGGGAGUCAGCAGGGGAGCUGGGAAGUGAACUGCCGAGCCCUGACCUCCAGGCAGCUCCCUGUCAUUAGAUCGUGCUCUUUUCCUUGCAGCUGCGCUCCUUACAGUGAGAGCUAUUUCAACUGCGAAUGAAGGAAACACUCCUGGCUUUCUCAGAGAGUCUGAGGAGCUGCAAGAUCAGCGUGUUGCACACCUUGCUUCCCUGCAUCCCCACAGGUCGGAGUGCUGGGUAGGAGAAGCACGGCCAUCCCAUCUGUGUCCUUCACACUGUCUUCAGAGGAAGGUCCUGAAAACGAAAUGGCCUGGAGCCCUAUCUUGCCUUACAAGCCUGUGAAGGCAGGAACAGCUCAAACCUCCGUGCCUAUCACGACACAUGCUCACACCAUCCAUGCCUAUCAAGGGACAUGGCCCACAGGUCAGCCGGGCAGAUCACAUCAGGAAACGCACAGGCAUCACGUAUCCUCUGCUAAACCUCUCAGUACUCCAAGACCAAUGACUCCGCGCAGCAAGUAGGUGUGGUGUCCUCUGAAUUACCGCUCCAGCUGCAGUCGCAAGGCAGCUGGGGAUAAGGGCCGGCCGUGCACAUGCCAAGAGUGCUGACUCACCAGAGGAACUCCCUGGGCAGUCCCGGGAACUCCCCAGACAGUUUCUGUGAGAGGAGAUAAUGGACUGAAGGCUGCGGGAGUGCAGGAGCCCGCCCCGACCCCACCAGAGUCAGAGGGAUCGAUGAAGGUCCCCGGGCAGCCCCAGUCCAGCUUCGUGUCAGCCAGAUAAGUGAGGGUGUGACAGGGGCUGGGGUGGCAGGGAGAUCCCGGCAGCCCUGGGAGCAACACGGGGAGCUCCUGCCCCACACACGUGAAGGAGCUGGUGGCCUGGCAGGCACUACUCGUGUGUUCGGGUAUGUUCAUCACUGGACGGGGCAGUUCCUGCACACGGCUGAGUUGACAGAAACUCACCAUGUGUGCACCAGAGCGGUGGCAUGGGAGCACAGGCCAGCUGGAUUUUAAGAAUUCACCAGCCAGUGCUUUGGGGAGUCUGAUCUGAACCAGCUGAAAACGCUGUUACGAGCACACUCACAACGGAGCCUCCUAUCACCACAUGGCCACACUGUCACAACAGUGACAACAUUUACACAAGAGCAUUACCUCAUGCGGCUGAUCCACACCAGAUCCUUUAGCUAACACGUACACCAGUGUUUGUGUAACAUGGACCAGAAGGAUCUCUAUGAAAACGAGAGCCCACCACCACACAAGAUGUCCACAAUGAAAUCACAUGAGGCUUGAAAUAUUACCCCAGAGUGUAAGGGCAUUUGUCCAAGGAAGUGUAUCUGAUGCCACAGUCGGAUAUUGUGUAAGGUAGCUAUAAUUCUGGCUUGCAGAAUACAUGCUCCUUUCCCAAAAUACCUACCAAAUAACUGCAUUCCAGUAUCCUGCCCCACUCCUCACAACACAAAAUUGCUGGUUACACAGAUAAUGUUCAUAAGCAUUGGUGGUUUGUGGGCAAUACCCAUUUAUUUAUAAUCUGGCCAUAAUCCACUACAGCACCAGACACAGACGCUCCACUGGUAGGAACAGGCACUUCCCUUCAGGCCGUCUGUAAACAUGCAACAAGAAACUUCACACCAGAGUCUCUGAUCAGAGCUCCUGACCUGCUCCCUUGGCAUGCCUGUCCUGAGACUAACAGCCAGACUAGGUCACGCUCAUCCUCUUGCUUUUAAUCAGCCAGGAAUCCUGGCUCCGAGACUUGUUACAAAUUUCACAGUACACAGCCUGAGCAGGGACCUGAACCCCUCAGCCCUCCUGCCAUGACAGCAAGGCCAAGUGCUCAACACAGAGCUGAGAUGAGUCCCACCUGGACGCUGCCUGAGGACAACCAUGUGGGACUCUUCCUCCUGUGUUCAGGAAAAUGUGGCAUGGGCUAGGCCUGUAUCCACAAGGAGGUUUAGGUGUGACACUGAACAGGGUGCUUUGACACCUGGCUCCUGAAGUGGAAUUCACAAACCUAAGUUGUGCACACAAAAUUCAAUUUCCAAAAAGCAGACCAUAAAGGGGAGAGAUAUUUUAGAAAAAAAUAACUGGAUAUAACUGGUAAGGAAAGGAACAUGUCCAGAAUCCCUCCUACAAGGUACAUGCAUGCAGCACUAAAGUGACUUCAGUCAGUUACUUGUGUGAGACUGGUAUUCACAGCUUGAAGCUCAAAAAGGUGUUAGGUGUGUAAAGAGUCAGCCAUUAUGUCUAGGGAUUGCUUUCUGUAACAUAUGGGGGAAGGAAAAGACAAAUUAUUAGUAUCGACUUUAAUGCAACGCUGAAAGUAAGUAUAGUACUUGUUAGGGAAUGCACCUUCUACACCCAUUUCAACCCCAAACGAGCCUAAAUAAAUAUUCUAAAUUCAAGAAGGCAUAUAUUAGUGACCAUGUCAGAGACCAGGAUGUUCCCCCUUCCUUCUGAACUAUGCCAGUGUGAGAGCCCACAGAUAUCUUUGGAGGCUUAUACUGAGGUCCCAGUCCUUCACCUACAUUCCAUGUGGAAAACCUAUUUGCUAAAAUGCCUUAACUUCAUCUGGAACAAGAAACAGAAACCAGAAAUCGGGACUACUUCCUUCUGUCCCAUCCUUCUCUACACAACAUGCAAACUGGACAGAAACACUCUAUUAGCAUAGCUCUCUAUGAAUGCUCAGUCUACAAUCUUGAUUUUAAAAUACUCUGCCUAGGGGAAAAACUCUUGGUCAGAAAAACAAUAUUCUCUGCAGGCCUCACUGUAGAACUCAGAUGUAUCACAUUUCUUAAGGUAUUCUUAAGGUAUGAAACCUCAAGCAACACACAUACCAGAGGUGUCUUCAAGUUCCGCUUGACUCAAUUCACCUUCUUCUUCCCACCCCACUGAAGGGAGGAGGCAGGGGUGAGCUCUGGCCACGUCCAAAGCUCUGUAUGAGUCUGCUGUCAAGACUGGACCCUUUGACUUCUUCACUUCUAUUUAUAAACAUAGUUAGGUAUUACAAGAGCCAGACUACUUAACCAUGAAGACUGUCAAAAUAGAUAAUGUAUUGUGUCUCACUGAAUUACAAACUGGCUGGGUGCCUAGCCUUUUGACUUCAAAGGUCCACUCCAUCAUAGUUCAAGCAAUGUCUUCUAUCUACUUUAAAAGUUGUGACAACAGUUAACUGUGAAAUGACUAUAUGGAUCAUCCAAAUUGUAUUUGUUAAUCAUUCUGUUGGUAAACUGCACCAGUUACUAGAUCUGAUGCCAACUUAGGAAGAGCAAUACUCUACCAGAAAAUGCAGCUAUGACCUUCAUUCUAACAGGAUAACGCUCAGCGGUGGUCUCUUGUGGUAUCCACACUGACGUGUGCUCAGAGAAGUGAAGGUGUUAACUUACUCCACGGGUUGUCUGAGAAAUUGCUUUCCUCAUGUAUGUAGGGAGCCCAUGUGCAUCCACAGUGGGAUCAAGAUUAGUAUUACAUUUCAAAGAACAAAGUACUUAACUGUAGUAACAGCUACAGCACAGUAACUGUUUUUAUGAGGCCCAUGAAAUUUUAUUUACCUCAGUGAAGGCAUUGCUUGUAUCUGCUUCCAUUAGUUAGAAAACUAAUGGCAUUUAUGGGGGUUAAUAUGGGUUA